rnacentral:tmRNA from 1 species
GGGGAUGUAAAGGUUUCGACGGGGACUUUGAAGCAUGAUAAGCGAGCAGAGGAUUGUGCUGAUCUCUUUAACCCGCACACGUUUUAAAAUUAGACGACAACGAUAAUUUUGAAUUAGCAGCUGCUUAAUUGCUGCUCGUCUGUCUGAGAAGUACCGCGGUCUCGGAACAGGCGCCGAUCAGCGGUGAACGUCAUGCAGAAGUGCCUGCGUCUGCAUGAUGUAUUGCAGGCUACUGAGCAUAAGCGCGUGUCUGUUUGCGCUUAUGUGAGGGAAUGUCAAUAACAGACUAUGCUCGUAGAAAGUCGUGUGGAUCGGUUUUCGGACACGGGUUCGAUUCCCGUCAUCUCCACCA